GGGCCCCUUUGUCCCCCAGGCCCGGGCCAGCGCAGUGGGGGCAGCGGGGUGCCCGGGGUGCCGAGGGCCGGGGCGCGCGCUCGUUGGCCGCUCGCCGACCGGGCCCCGAGUCGCCGAUUCCUGCCGAGUGUAGAGAGGAGAGAGUGAACAGGGAGCGGGGCUUUUGUCUGUUGGUUGGUCUCCUUGGACUGAAGAGAGGGAGGGUGCAAGGCCAAGACUGUUAAGGAUUCUCAAAAUGGUUUCUUACCCAGAGCUUUCUGUCUGGGUCAGUCAAGAACCAUUUCCAAACAAGGAAAUGGAGGGAAGGCUUCCUAAGGGAAGACUUCCUGUCCCAAAGGAAGUGAGCCGCAAGAAGGAUGGCCAGACCGAGGCUGCCUCCCUGCAUCCACUUGGCAGCAGUGAGCUCCACUCCCCGGGAAUCAGUUACCUCCUCUCUUUUUAAUCACCUCCAUUUGUAUUACACAUGGUGUAUGGGUAUUGAUGAGGUCAUGGUAUCAUAUAUGGGAUUUUUUUCUGUGUAAAUCAUCAAGUAUAAGAAGAAACUAUGGGACUCUGAGCCUUGCUUUAGAGAAUUUACAGUGGACAAAUAGGUAUCAUCAAACCAGUUUUUAAUCAUUCUGACUCAAGUGAAAACGCUCAGAAUUUCACACUGUGAAUCCACGUUUACAACCCUUACAGGUGGGCCUUCAGGCCUGGUUUGCUACGACGAUGUCUUCCACAACUCAAACCCCCUCUGCUCUCACACAACCGGUCCACUUCUGCCUUUUCACUCACACAGCUCCCGACUGCUUCUUGCAGAGGCUGAGAGUCCCCAUUUUUUUUUUUUUUUCAUUUAGAUGUAACAAGCCUAGUAGUUUAUGUUCAUCAAUUGUCUGUAUAUCUCUAUAUUUUAUCCAUGUACUCUUUCGAUGUAUAGAAGUAGUUUGAAACUCAUUGUUUCCUUGUGGUAAGUGAUCGAGAUGCUGCCACAGGACCUGAGACACUGAUGAAUGGUGCUAUUUUGGACUUUCAACAUGCUCCUUGGCAAGGUAGCUCUGAUGGAGUUAUUUUUUAUUUUCAUGUUCUAAGAAGGUGUUGGUACUCUGUUUCCCCGAAUGUUGUUCUCUAGACUGGAUUGACUUGUUCUCCUUGUGUCUUCAGUGUGGCUUUCUUCUUCAGCGUUGUAGGUUGAGUGAGUGCCACCACAGAGCUGGUAGAGACCCCUGUCUCAUGGGCGGGCACUCCUGGACACGCAGUCACUGUAGCGGGAGCAAUCACAAAACUGUAAUUUCCUUACCAAAUCUCUUCCUUUCCAUAGCCUCGCCUGCCUCACUUAGAGAACGAAAAGCAAUAAUUUGACAGGCAUUUUUAGGUGUCUCUUUUGGUUCUUUUCAUUUGAAAGAAUAUUUGGGGAAGAAAGGGCAAACUUUUUUUUUUAACAAAUGCCCUCUGAAAAAAAUCUAAAAAACUGACAUCUCAGUAGGAACAUGAAAAUUAGACCUUUCCCAAAAAUUAGGUUGGAAAAAAAUGUUUUUACAAAUUUUUUUUUUUUUUAAAGGCAGAGCACUCUCUUUCGGCAGUUCUGAUAAGCAAGGUGUAGAUUUUACAUUUUUGUCCUUGCUCCCAAUGAAAUGGAUAAACAAAAAUACAAUCAGACAAUACCAUCCACUCAUGGAAUGUUGUUGUGUUAGCCAGUCUGAAAGCCCACCUUAAUUUUUAUAUAACUGUCUUUUAGCUCUUCCUUUGACAGGGCAGGCUUUGUUCUGAACUGUCCCGCUUCUGACUGUUACACAUCAACCGACGCAUGCACUGCACUUCUUCGUUCUCUUCUCGCUCCCCCAUUGGCCUGAGUUUCCUGUGCAUUUACCCCCCUCCCUCCUUUGUUAGAAUAGGUAUAUCCGCUGUGUAAAUAGAGCAAGAAAACAGUAUUCUGCAUCUGUGGCAUUUCCGUAGAGUUGCAGUUGUGUACUGCUGAAUAUGCAGGCUUUUGUAGCAAUGUGAUCUUUACUGAUGCACUCACAACAAGUACCCAAUGUAUUUUAGCUAUUUUAGUAGUAUUCAAUAAAUAUGCAAGCUGUAUGGUAACUGGCUUGGCUCGUCAUUGGAAAGGCCUACUUUUGAAUGCUUUCACUUGUUCAUGUUAAUUCAUGUGCUCUCAGAGCCCCAAAUGUAGACCCAAGGACAAAUAUCAAAAGAGAUAGAAUCAGCUCUGCCUUUCAUGCAUUUUCCCUUCUGAGGGUUUUAUGAGAUUAGGGGCUAGGCAGUGGCUCAUUAGGAUGGUAUUUGCAGAGCUGCCUCUGGGUACAAAGGAGAAUUAAACCGAGACCCUUUUAUUUCUAUAUUUUUUCUCUUUCAGGGCACUCCCACACACCUCAAAACACUCUUUUUUACCCCUUGCCAUAAAGACCUACUCUGUGGUAUUCUUUACCCAUCUCAAAAGAUACCUGACCUUGCUGCUUCAUGGAAUACUUACACACACACACACAAAAGUGUACAAAUGUAUAAGACAAAAGGCUUUAUCCACUUGUAAGUGGAUAAAAAUUUGAGAUAGGAUUUUAAAUCAUGAAUUCAUAUAUAGCCAGCUACCUGGAAUCUAGCAAAUGAUAAGCUAAUAUCACAGCUGGGAGGAGUUACAUCUUGUCUUCUUGCCCUGGUUAAACUGGAACAGGAAAGGUGACGAGGCCAGGCCAGGAGGACGGUAGGCUGGGUUGCUUUAUGCCCCUCUGUGUUAAUCUAUUGCCACAUAGCAAAUUACAGCCAUACUUGACACCUUGGAACAACAAAAUUUGCUUGUCUCACAGAUUCCAUUGGUCAGGAAUUCAGGAGCAGUUGAGCUGGUGUUUAUGGCACAGGAUCUGUCCUGGGUUUGCAGUCAAGAGGACCCACGUGUGAAUCAGCUACGACUUGUUCAGGGUUAAUAAACUGCCGAAGCGGAGCUGGAGCUAAGAAACUGGAGCAGUAGCUGGAGUCAGAGCGGGAGACCCAAACUUUAGUUAAAGACUGCUUUGUUCUCUCUCUAGAGGUAAAAAUAUCACCCAGUUGCCUUUGGGCGGACAGAGAUUGGUAACUAACAACCGCGGACCAGAUAUGACCUGUAGACUUGUUCUGUUUGGCCUGCAAUGUGUUUUAUAAAAGUGUUGAUUUAAUUGCCAACAUUUACAAACUGGAAGAUUUCACAUGAAAAUUCAGGUUUUGGGCUUCCCUUGAAAAAUGGAAGCUGAGUAGCAGCCUCCAUCUCUGGUGAGGCCUGGCCCCUCCAUUAUCCAGUCUCACACAGCUAAUCUCAGACCCCGUCUGCUUUGUUCGUUUACAUCACCUGCCUCCCUCUGUUGGCCUGUGAGUUUGCAAUAUGAAACUUCUAGUUUCAGAAGAUGGUGGUGUGCUUAUUUGCACCAACAAAGAGCCAGGGGAUCUUCUAAUUUCUGUUUGAUAGCUGAAGCACGUGCAUGUCUGUGAACACCAGACUGGAAACAGAGGCUCCUCAUUACUGGUCCCCAAACAGGGGCUGCUGCAGUUCCCUCUGCACCUCUGGGCCCUCUUUUCAACUUUUCAGUUACUCUCCUCCAGUGACUGAGAUCCCCAGGCUAUAACAUCUUGGACUGGGUUAGGUUAGGCUACAUACGGGUCUGAUAAAUGCAUGGUUUUCAAGCCGGGGUAUGUGUAACUCAGAGUAUGUGAAGUCUUUCCAGGGAGUACAUACAUGCUCAUGGAUAGUCUUAAGGAACUCAUUUCUAGAUCCUCUAUGGAAACUAGACGUGUUCCUAAGAUUGUUCUGCUGAGAAUGAGUCUGUAUUCACAAUAGUCCUCUCCCCACAUUAUAUGAAAAAAGAUACAGGUCUCAUACAUCCCAACUCUUAAUAUAACAGAUUGCCUUAAUAUGACACAAAAACCCCAGAUGUGGCAAACAAAGAGAAAGUUUCCUUUAAUGAUUAAUCAUAAACCCAUAGUGCUUUGGGCUUUCCCUUCUUAUACACACAAACUGAUAGAUUAGAAAAUACGGAAGUGAGGUGUUUGGACUCAUUUGGAUUUUCAGAACUCAGAUAAUACUGGUAAAGUGGAGUGAUGGAAAUAAUGACAAUUUUUAUUUAAUGCUUUUUCCUCUUUCUCCUCCUGACUCUUGUCAAAGAAUGCCUUGCACUUGAGGGAGAGUCCUGAGAGAGUGAAGCAAAGAGAAAAUCAGUAGGAGACAUCAACUACCCAAAAUGGCUUGUUCAUGUAAUUGUAAGCAAUUUUUUUCCACUAUUCUCCAUGCUUAUCCCUAGGAUAUUUCUUACCUGGGAGGAAAGUAACUUAGAACAGCUAAAGCAGUAUAGGUUUGCAAUGCUGAUUAUUUUCAAUGCAAUUAGGAUGCCUUUUGAAAAUACUCAAUUUUUACACGAUAAAAUGGAUAACACUCAAGAAUAAAAACUUUUCAUAUGGAUUCUUUCAGACUUGAUGUGCAUUAGUUAAUAAAAUUAUCAAAAACCUGUGGUAUCAAAGCAUAGCAUGAAAUAUUUGUUUCAAUUAUAGUCAAUUCUCAUCAUAUUCUGUCUUAUAAAAUGUUUAAUAUCUUUUUCAUAACAACAACAAAAAAUAUUACGUGCUGCUAGACUGAUUCGCAGCCUAGAACCUUUCUAUUAUUUGUGGUGGUUCUGAUUUUUACACUAGUUCUUACUUAUUCUCCAAAGUCAGUCAGCAGCAUUCAGUAACCUCACACAGUUUUACUAGAGAUACAUCAUGCCUUUCGUCAUUCUUCUUGAUUGAGAAAGUGUAUGGAUCAUUUUGUUUUUAUAACUUAUUUAAGCAUGCAAUAAAUUAUAUUAGCUCUAUAUCAUUUUCAUUCUGAUUGGUUUUAGUGAUCAAUUUCACAAGAUAUGCUUUUAAUUCUCAUUGAUUUUUAUAAUAAUCCUCAAAAUAGCUAUUUGAAUUGAAAAAUGAAGUCAAAGUUUUUUUUUCUGACAGAAAGUGAAUCUGAUUUGACUAAUUGGUUUAACAGUGAAGACUGGCUCUGCCAAUGAGGUUUGUGAUGGACAUGUUCCGUAAAUGGGCUGAAUCUGCAACUCCAAGGUAACAGUAAUAUGGUUAAGGGAAGAAAUAAGAUCAAAAUAUUUUAUCCAAAAGCAUUAUUUUGGCAAAAGUGUAAUGAAAUUAGUAAUAUAUCUGGUUUUCCUUUCAUUUCUGAAGACAUGGGAUUUAAAAAGGUGGGUCUAGGUGAAAGCGUUACAGCAUAAUUAACAAUCAUUUGGUAAAUUGUAGCAAAGAUCUUUCUUCCCAGAAAUUGAGAAAGUGAAUUAGAUUCUAAU